rnacentral:rRNA from 1 species
CGUAGGGUGCGAGCGUUAAUCGGAAUUACUGGGCGUAAAGUGUGCGCAGGUGGCCGCGCAAGUCGAGUGUGAAAUCCCCGAGCUUAACUUGGGAAUUGCGCUCGAAACUACGUGGCUCGAGUGUGGCAGAGGAAGGUGGAAUUCCACGUGUAGCGGUGAAAUGCGUAGAGAUGUGGAGGAACACCGAUGGCGAAGGCAGCCUUCUGGGCCAACACCGACGCUCAUGCACGAAAGCGUGGGGAGCAAACAGGAUUAGAUACCCUGGUAGUCCACGCCCUAAACGAUGAUGACUAGUUGUUGGGGGAGUUAAAUCCCUUAGUAACGCAGCUAACGCGUGAAGUCAUCCGCCUGGGGAGUACGGUCGCAAGAUUA